UGCCAGCAGACGCGGUAAUACGUAUGUGGCAAGGGUUGUUAGGAAUCACUGGGCAUAAAGAGUUCGUAGGCGGAUGUAUCAGUUGGGUGUGAAAUCCCGGGGCUUACCCCCGGAACUGCACCCAAUACUGUAUAUCUGGAGUCCUUCAGGGGUAAGUGGAAUUCCAUGUGUAGCGGUGAAAUGCGUAGAUAUAUGGGAGAACGCCUAUGGCGAAGGCAGCUUACUGGGGAGUGACUGACGCUGAGGAACGAAAGUUAGGGUAUCGAACGGGAUUAGAUA
rnacentral:rRNA from 1 species